rnacentral:misc_RNA from 1 species
CUAGGGCCAUGUAUGGGAAACAAAAGUGUGCAUGAGAAAUUGGGUGAUGUAUAUUUAGCAUGUAUGAACUACCCCCUUAGGGUAAAAAAAUGGAUAUUUUAUUCUGAUUCUGCUGCUGAUGCCGGAACAGAUGUCUGGAAUGUUUGUCUGAUUCGUCUAUUGUCUAAAAUGAUGCUGAUGCAUAGGGGGCACGUACCUUGAUAACUCAGUUUUGCUUUUUGCAGUUCACCUGCAGGGCAAUUCUGGUUGG